AAAGAAAUAUUAAAGCUGCUAACUUUUUUAAAAAACUUCUUUU
rnacentral:tRNA from 1 species